rnacentral:tRNA from 1 species
GGGCGGUUAGCUCAGCUGGUUAGAGUACUUGCUCGACACGCAAGAGGUCAGUGGUUCGAGUCCACUACCGCCCACCA